CCUACGGGGGGCUGCAGUGGGGAAUAUUGCACAAUGGGCGCAAGCCUGAUGCAGCGACGCCGCGUGAGGGAUGACGGCCUUCGGGUUGUAAACCUCUGUUAGCAGGGAAGAAGAGAAAGUGACGGUACCUGCAGAGAAAGCCCCGGCUAACUACGUGCCAGCAGCCGCGGUAAUACGUAGGGGGCGAGCGUUGUCCGGAAUUAUUGGGCGUAAAGGGCACGCAGGCUGUGCUUCAAGUCAGCUGUAAAAGGAUGCGGCUUAACCGUGUUAUGCAGUUGAGACUGAGGUGCUGGAGUAUCGGAGAGGAAAGUGGAAUUCCUAGUGUAGCGGUGAAAUGCGUAGAUAUUAGGAAGAACACCAGUGGCGAAGGCGACUUUCUGGACGAAAACUGACGCUGAGGCGCGAAAGCCAGGGGAGCGAACGGGAUUAGAUACCCGAGUAGUC
rnacentral:rRNA from 1 species